UACAGGGGGGGCAAGCGUUGUUCGGAAUUACUGGGCGUAAAGGGUUUGUAGGUGGCUUGCUAAGUCGAACGUGAAAUCCCCGAGCUCAACUCGGGAACUGCGACCGAUACUGGCGGGCUUGAAUCCGGGAGAGGGAUGCGGAAUUCCAGGUGUAGCGGUGAAAUGCGUAGAUAUCUGGAGGAACACCGGUGGCGAAGGCGGCAUCCUGGACCGGCAUUGACGCUGAGGCGCGAAAGCUAGGGGAGCAAACGGG
rnacentral:rRNA from 1 species